GAGUUCCUGUUCGCAGAAUUCCAGAGAACGUAAGGUUGGAGUCAGAUUUCAGGGUUGAAGAACAGAUCUCUAUAGGUAAGUUUCUAACCCCUAGAUUAUUAUUUUAGAUUCAUUAGUUAAUUUCAAGCAUUAGAUAUAUUUUUUGGAAAACCCCAAAUCUAGAUUAGGGUUAGAUUAUUUUUUUUAAUUCGUUUUAAUAUCAAACAGUGAAAAUCUAAGAUUUUGAUUUUAUUAUUGGAAUUUGGGAGAUAUUAAGUUUUAUUAGAUGAAAAAAAAAAAAAAAAAAUUCUUGGAAAGUUUCGAUUUUAGGUUAGGGUUAAUUUUAUUAUAAAAAAAAAAUAAAAAAUAAAGGGCGUACGUGCACUGUGCUACCGGAAGCAUGGAAAAAAAAAAGGGCGUGUGCACUGUGCUACUGGAAGCAUGGAAAAAAAAAAAAAAAAAAGGGCGUGUGCCGGAAGCCCCCCUUUUAUAUAUAUAUAUAUAUAUAUAUAUAUAUAUAUAUAUGUAUAUAAUGGAUCAUGAGGGCAAUGAAAAAAAAAUAAAAAAUAAAAAAUAAUUUUGCUUUUUGGUUUGGUGUACCCGAGGUUGAGUGGUUUGGAAUUGGUUAAUUAAAUAAUAAUAUUUAGUUUUAGAUUUAUAAAUAAGAUAAUAGUAAUAAUGGUAUUUUUGUAAUAAAUAGAAUAAGAGAUUUAGCAAUAUAUAUAUAGAAUUUUAUAACGAAAUAAAGUUAUAAUUUAAUUAAAUUAGUAAUGUGUUAUUAGAAACAAAUUGAGAAUUUAUUAGUUUUAUUUAAAUAAGGAAUAGAUUAGUUAAAUUAUAAAUAAAUAGUAAUAAUUGUUCCUCUUAUGUUUUGUUAGGUGAAGAGUAGAUUUUAAGGAUUAUUUUUCUCCAAAGUUUUUGAGGACUUCUUUUGAGGUAAGGGAAGUUAAUGCAAUAUUUAUAAAAUUAAAUUAUUUUAUAUGUUAUUUUGAAUUGUGGAAAAGAAAAUGAUAUUUUGUUACCAUGCAUGGAUCAAAUUAUUUUGCACUAAAUGUAUGUUGGAAUACUUUGUUUUAUUUAUGACACAAAAUAGGGAGAUAUUAUGUUGUGUAAAUUUGAAUACUUGAACAAAAACAUCACUCUGGUUUAUUUGGCCCUUGUCAACGGGAUAUAAUAGUUGGCUAUUCGGCCCUGUCAACGGGAUAUAAUAGUUGACCUUUACAUUUCAUGGUGGGAAUGUAAUUGAUUUGGACCCCAGCCUCUAGGGGUUUCGGUUAGAGGUUACUAGUACUAGUAGUGUUUGGUUCCGUCCACCAGGAACAAUUUGAGGCUAGCCACCCAUUUGAAAAGUCCCACCUAACUGGGCAUUUGAUAUUUGAUAACCAGAGUAAUGAAAAAUUGAAUAGAUUUGAUUGAGUCUGAUGUGAAAGUGUUUGAAUUUGAUAUGAAAUUGGUUGGUUGAAUUUUGAAUAUAUUGGUAUUUUUGGAACUCUGAUAUUUGAUGAGAAAAAAAAAAAUUGAUAUCUCCUAUUUGAAAUGAAAAUAUUUGAUCCAUGAAUUGCAUUAAUAUUCCUUAUUGGGCUGUGAGCUCAUUCCCAAUUGUUGAAAAUUUUUCAGGUACUCUUAGUUCGGGUGAGGAGUGAUGGCUAGGCUGAGAAAUGGUCAUCAUUAGGAUUUGACUUAGGAUUUUAUGUUGGAUUUUGUUUAACUAUUAGUUAUGUUAAUUUGGAUCAUUUGAUAUGUAGACCCUCAAUUUUGUCCCUUUAACACAUGUCUUUAAGUUCGUUUUCAGUACUCCACAGUAGUUCCUUGGUAGCCCAGUACUGCUCACCACUUACCUUUUUCUGAGUCACCUUGGAGACUUUGGUUGAGGGAUUAUUUGAUCCCUUAUUGUGACCCUUGGCAGCCCGAACUUAGACUUAGGCUUUUCUUGUUUUUUUUAGGAUAGCUUUUAGAUACACUUGGCCCAUUAGGCACCACCCUAGGCCCAUUUAGGCACACUUGACCCAUUUGGACAUUUUUAGUGUGACUUGUAUGACUUGCAUGGUUACAUGGCUUUUGGGCUCAGCUUUCGUUUAUUGGUUUAUUUUUUUAUUUUAUUUUAUUUUAUUUUUAGUUCACUUUUUAUUGGUUAUCUUCCUCAUUAUAUUAUUUUCCUUAAUUUAUUUAUUUAUUUAUUAUUUAUUUAUUUAUUUUUACCGUUUCCUAAUUUAUUUACUCGCUUAUUUAUUCAUUCAAUGAUUUAACUUCAAGAAUUUCAUGUUUUUGCAAGGAAACUUACCAUUGGAGUUUAAGGAAGGUGGGACUCUCCUUGGAAGGUUUUGGAGGGGAAUUUGAAAUUGAGAAGAUUGCUUUUGAUUGGAAGAUUUAAAAAAGGAAGAGAAGAAGAAAAGAAAUAGGAGAAUUUUCCUUUUCGGAAGAGGAGUUUUUUUUAAGGUGGGGGGAGAUUCUUUUUUUUGGUGAGCAGCCACGUAUUGGAAUCUANNNNNNNNNNNNNNNNNNNNNNNNNNNNNNNNNNNNNNNNNNNNNNNNNNNNNNNNNNNNNNNNNNNNNNNNNNNNNNNNNNNNNNNNNNNNNNNNNNNNAAAAAAAAAAUUGAUAUCUCCUAUUUGAAAUGAAAAUAUUUGAUCCAUGAAUUGCAUUAAUAUUCCUUAUUGGGCUGUGAGCUCAUUCCCAAUUGUUGAAAAUUUUUCAGGUACUCUUAGUUCGGGUGAGGAGUGAUGGCUAGGCUGAGGAAUGGUCAUCAUUAGGAUUUGACUUAGGAUUUUAUGUUGGAUUUUGUUUAACUAUUAGUUAUGUU
rnacentral:lncRNA from 1 species